AGGAGUGGGACGAAUAUACCGGCUAGGAGUCAGCCGGGUUAGCCGGCUGAAGUCCCAGCCCGCGGAGGUCCCAGCCCGCACCCGUCCAUGAAGACAAACCAGACACGGAAGCCGACAUAUGUGGACGGGACGGACGGUGUUCCAGCGGGCAUAUGUGGACGGGACGAACGGUGACAAGAAAAGACACGGACGGCGACAUAUAUGGCCGGGACGGACGGUGAUCGAGCGGGCUUGGGGACACAGCGGGCUAGGGGACGAAUAUACCUGCAAGGAGACAGCCGGUGAGGUCCUAGCCCGCGCCCGUCCACGAAGACAAACAAGACACGGACGGCGACAUAUAUGGCCGGGACGGACAGUGAUCCAGCGGGCUUGGGGACGAAUAUACCGGCUAGGAGUCAGCCGGUGAGGUCCCCGCCCGCGCCCGUCCACGAAGUCAGAAAAGACACGGACGGCGACAUAUAUGGCCGGGACGGACGGUGAUACAGCGGGCUUCAGCGGGCUAGGGGACGAAUAUACCGGCAAGGAGACAGCCGGUGCGGUCCCUGCCCGCGCCCGUCCACGAAGACACACAGGACACGGAAGGCGACAUCUGUGGACGGGACGAACGGUGACACAGCGGGCUAGGGGACGAAUAUACCGGCAAGGAGACAGCCGGUGAAGUGAAAAGACACGGACGGCGACAGGGGACGAAUAUACCGGCUAGGAGUCAGCCGGUGAGGUCCCCGCCCGCGCCCGUCCACGAAGUCAGAAAAGACACGGACGGCGACAUAUAUGGCCGGGACGGACGGUGAUCGAGCGGGCUUGGGGACAAAUAUACCGGCUAGGAGUCAGCCGGUGAGGUCCCCGCCCGCGCCCGUCCACGAAGUCAGAAAAGACACGGACGGCGACA
rnacentral:lncRNA from 1 species